rnacentral:rRNA from 1 species
UACAGAGGUGGCAAGCGUUGUUCGGAAUUACUGGGCGUAAAGGGCGCGUAGGCGGUCCCGUCAGUCCCUUGUGAAAUCCCUCGGCUUAACCGGGGAACUGCGUCUGAUACUGGUUGGCUUGAGUUUGGGAGAGGGAUGCGGAAUUCCAGGUGUAGCGGUGAAAUGCGUAGAUAUCUGGAGGAAUACCGGUGGCGAAGGCGGCAUCCUGGACCGGCAUUGACGCUGAGGAGCGAAAGCCAGGGGAGCAAACGGG